rnacentral:rRNA from 1 species
UGAGCAAUCUGCCCUUCUCAUCGGAAUAAGCGUUGGAAACGACGUCUAAUGCCGAAUACGACCUCCUUUCGCAUGAUCGGAGGUGGAAAGCUCCGGUGGAGAAGGAUGAGCUCGCGGCCUAUCAGCUAGUUGGUGUGGGUAAUGGCCUACCAAGGCGUCGACGGGUAGCCGGCCUGAGAGGGCGACCGGCCACACUGGGACUGAGACACGGCCCAGACCUCCGUACGGGAGCAG